UCCGGGCCCCAGGGAGGAGGCUCAGCAGAGAGGGUAGAAAACAGCAGAGCUGACAGUCACAGCAGCCCUGCACGAAGCGUUCCUGGAGCCCAAGCUCUCCUCCACAGAUGAAGACAGGGCCAGUAGCAGACACCAUGGGGCACCUCUCAACCCCACUUCACAGAGUGCGUGUCCCCUGGCAGGGGCUUCUGCUCACAGCCUCACUUCUAACCUUCUGGAACCCGCCCACCACUGCCCAGCUCACUAUUGAAUCCAGGCCGUUCAAUGUCACAGAGGGGAAGGAGGUUCUUCUACUUGCCCACAAUCUGCCCCAGAAUACUUUAGGCUUCAGCUGGUACAAAGGGGAAAGAGUAGAUGCCAAACGUCUAAUUGUAGCAUAUGUAAUGGAAACUCAACGAACUACCCCAGGGCCCGCACACAGCGGUCGAGAGACAGUAUACUCCAAUGUAUCCCUGCUGAUCCAGAACGUCACCCAGAAUGACACAGGAUCCUACACCAUACAAGUCAUAAAGGAAGAUUUUGUGAAUGAAGAAGCAACUGGCCAGUUCCGGGUAUAUCCGGAGCUGCCCAAGCCCUACAUCACCAUCAACAACUCCAACCCCGUGGAGGACAAGGAUGCUGUGACCUUAACCUGUGAACCUGAGACUCAAGACACAACCUAUCUGUGGUGGGUAAACAAUCAGAGCCUCACAGUCAGUUCCAGUCUGCAGCUCUCCAAUGGCAACAGGAUCCUCACUCUACUCAGUGUCAUAAGGAAUGACACAGGACCCUAUGAGUGUGAAACACAGAACCCAGUGAGUGCCAACCGCAGUGACCCACUCACCUUGAAUGUCAUCUAUGGCCCGGACACCCCCACCAUUUCCCCUUCAGACACCUAUUACCGUCCAGGGGCAAACCUCAACCUCUCCUGCUCUGCGGCCUCUAACCCACCUGCACAAUAUUCCUGGCUUAUUAAUGAAACAUUCCAGCAAAAUGCACAAGAGCUGUUUAUCCCCAGCAUCACUGUGAAUAAUAGUGGAUCCUAUACCUGCCACGCCAAUAACUCAGUCACUGGCCACAACAGGACCACAAUCAAGACAAUCAUAGUCUCUGAACUAAGUCCAGUAGCACAGCCUCAAAUCAAAGCCAGCAAGACCACAGUCACAGAAGAUAAGGACUCUGUGAACCUGACCUGCUCCACAAAUGACACUGGAAUCUCCAUCAGUUGGUUCUUCAAGGACCAGAGUCUCCCGUCCUCGGAGAGGAUGAAGCGGUCCCAAGACAACGCCACCCUCAGCAUAAACCCUGUCAAGAGAGAGGAUGCUGGGAAGUAUUCAUGUGAGGUCUUCAACCUAAUCAGUAAGAACCGAAGCGACCCCAUCAUGCUCAUCGUAAACUAUAAUGAUCCAGCACAAGAAAAUGGCCUCACAGCUGGGGCCAUUGCUGGCAUUGUGAUUGGAGUACUGGCCCUGGUUGUUCUGAUAGUAGCAGCCCUGGCAUGUUUUCUGCAUUUUGGGAAGAUUGGCGGGGCAAGCGACCAGCGUGAUCUCACAGAGCACAAACCCUCAGUCUCCAACCACAGUCUUCCCACCCUUCCCAGCCACAGGAGUCCCCUGAGACACAUCUGAGGAGAGAGGCUCACUCUGCCUUGGCCAGGCAGGCCUGAGGAAGAUCCCGUGUUUCCAGGAGCCAUUUCCUCAGCCUUACUCCUUCCACCUCCUGCCUCUAUUACGGAUGUGGGCACUCUCCCUUGGUGAGACUUUCCUUGUCUUGUGGGUGCUGUGGGUGCUGCCCCUCCUUGCCACUGGAGCAUGUUGGUGAGAAAUACAUCUGGGUAAAAAUCAAGGCCUUGUGAACUGGUAGAACUCUUCAUAAGUGGAUUGUGGCCUCCUGUGGCUCUACUCCUGCCCUCUCUCUGGUACUAGCGUGCUGGGUCUGGACCAUACACUCUGAGGGAAGCAAAUUCCUUAACUGAUCCUUAAUCUCCCCACCCUCCAACUGCCACCCCCUUCAGCUAGAAUCACCUUAAGUCAGCUUUGCAUUUCCAUGGAUUGCUAACUCUUCUUUUGCUUUUCCAGCUCAGGACCACUCCAAUGACCCACCUAACAAGAUGAAUGAAGUUACUUAUUCUACCCUGAACUUUGAAGCCCAGCAACCCACGCAACCAACUUCAGCCUCCUCAUCCCCAACAGCCACAGAAAUAAUUUAUUCAGAAGUAAAAAAGAAGUAAUGAAACCUGUCCUGCUCACUGCAGUGCUGAUGUCUUUCAAGUCUCUAACCCUCAUCACUAGGAGAUUCCCUUCCCCUGUAGCAGUAGAGGGGUGGAGACAGAAAGAAUUUCCUGCUACUCUUCCUUCCUAAUAGGCACCUCCAGACUGCCUGGUCACAGCCCCUCCCUCAGUGCCAAUAGAUGAAAAGGUACAUUGGGGAGUCUGUAGGAAACCCAACUUUCUUGUCAUUGAAAUUUGGCAAAGCUGACUUUGGGAAAGAGUGGCCAGAACUUCCCCUCCCUUUCCCUUUUCCCCACCUGGACUUGUUUUAAACUUGCCUGUUCAGAGCACUCAUUCCUUCCCACCUCAGUCCUGUCCUAUCACUCUAAUUCGGAUCUGCCAUAGCCUUGAGGUUAUAUCCUUUUCCAUUAAGUACAUGUGCCAGAAAACAAGAGAGAGAGAAAGGCAGUAAUGCCUUCUCCUAUUUCUCCAAAGCCUUGUGUGAACUCACCAAACACAAGAAAAUCAAAUAUAUAACCAAUAGUGAAAUUCCACACCCUUGUCCACUGUCAAGAAUGUCUACCUGUCAGGGUUGUCUACCUGUAGGAUCAGGGUCUAAGCACCUUGGUGCUUAGCUAGAAUACCACCUAAUCCUUCUGGCAAGCCUGUCUUCAGAGAAUCCACUAGAAGCAACUAGGAAAAUCACUUGCCAAAAUCCAAGGCAAUUCCUGAUGGAAAAUGCAAAAGCACAGAUAUGUUUUAAUAUCUUUAUGGGCUCUAUUCAAAGCAGUGCUGAGAGAGAGGGGUUAUAGCUUUAGGAGGGAACCAGCUUCUGAUAAACAAUCUGCUAGGAACUUGGGAAAGGAAUCAGAGAGCUGCCCUUCAGCGAUUAUUUAAAUUAUUGUUAAAGAAUACACAAUUUGGGGUAUUGGGAUUUUUCUCCUUUUCUCUGAGACAUUCCACCAUUUUAAUUUUUGUAACUGCUUAUUUAUGUGAAAAGGGUUAUUUUUACUUAGCUUAGCUAUGUAAGCCAAUCCGAUUGCCUUAUGUGAAAGAAACCACCAAAAUCCCUCAGGUCCCUUGGUCAGGAGCCUCCCAAGGUUUUUUUUGUCAGAGGCUCCAAAUAGAAAAUAAGAAAAGGUUUUCUUCAUUCAUGGCUAGAGCUAGAUUUCACUCGGUUUCUAGGCACCUCAGACCAAUCAUCAACUACCAUUCUGUUCCAUGUUUGCACCUGUGCAUUUUCUGUCUGCCCCCACUCACUUUCUCAGGAAACCUUGGCCUCUGCUAAGGUGUAUUUGGUCCUUGAGAAGUGGGAACACCCUACAGGGACACUAUCACUCAUGCUGGUGGCAUUGUUUACAACUAGAAAGCUGCACUGGUGCUGAUGCCCCUUGAGGAAACAGGGCUGUGAGGAGGAGGAUUGUAACUUAGGCCUAGCCUUUUUUAACAGCCUCUGAAAUUUAUCUUUUCUCCUAUAGGGUCUAUAAAUGUAUCUUAUAAUAAAAAGGAAGGACAGGAGGAAGACAGGCAAAAGUACUUCUCACCCAGUCUUCUACACAGAUGGAAUCUCUUUGGGGCUAAGAGAAAGGUUUUAUUCUAUAUUGCCUACCUGAUCUCAUGUUAGGCCUAAGAGGCUUUUUCCAAGAGGAUUAGCUUGGAGUUCUCUAUACUCAGGUACCUCUUUCAGGGUUUUCUAACCCUGAUAUGGACUGUGCAUACUUUCCCUCAUCCAUGCUAUGCUGUGUUAUUUAAUUUUUCCUGGCUAAGACCAUGUCUGAAUUAUGUAUGAAAACUGUUCUAUGUUUUUAUAAUAAAAAUAAUAUAUCAGACAUC